rnacentral:lncRNA from 1 species
CAACCUUGUGAGCCUGGCAGCCCUUUCACUUUACAGUGGAGGAAACUGCAGGCAGGAGAGGAAGUGACUUAGCUAAGGUCGCUCAACAGACUCCUGAAUGCUGGGCUGGGAGCCAGGUCUCCCAAUUCCCCAGAUUAAGGCCUUUCCGAAGCUUGUAGCUAUGAUAUGGUUGCAAAGGCACUGGAUUUAAUGUCAGGAGAAACGAGUUGAAAUCCCAACUCAGCCCUUUACUUUCUGUGUGGCUUUGGGUGGUUGUGUAACUUCUUGAACCUCAGUUUCCUUGUGGCCAGGGGCCCUGUUGGAAGAUGAAAGAAGCCAGGAGAUGGGAAACACCUCUGUCAACUGUGGAGUGCCGUAUCCAGAUGAAAAAACCAAGGCUCAAAGAGAAGACACUUGCCUAAGUCUACUCAGUAAAGAUGUGAUGGACUCAAGACCUCAGUGCAGGGCCAUCUGAAUUAAAACCUGAUGAUAUGUAUGCAAUAUCGAGAUCUAACAGCCACGUAAGUAAUUGACGUCACAGUUUAAGUAUGUUACAGCUGGACCUACGUAUAUACAAAUUUAAGAGUAAUAUAAAAGAUUUAAUAUUGCAAAAUGUUCUUCAGCUGCCCUGUGCAGCUCUUGCAGACACCAUGCUCUUUUUUGAGCACCUCCAGAACCAGGACUUGGAACAUAACAAGAAAGUGAAAGCUUUUCUUACACUGCUCAGAGCCUCCCCGUGCCCCAAAGCAGCGUCCAUCUGCACUGUCAGCAGCCGCACAACCCACAGCCUUUGUGGCAUUUGGACGCAGUCAUCCUUUGUGUCAAGGACAUAGAGCAAGAAAAGAGGAGAAGCGAAUCCCUUCUCCCUCCUGGGGCCUGAGCAGUGUCAGUCACGAAAGCGGAUGUUGAGGGUUACAUUGGGUGUGCUGGGCCAAGUGACCAAGGAUCUGUGUAUCCUUUAAUAAAUUGUGUAUGUUUGUGAUCUGGGGGUCCCUGUGCUACUCAUGUGUGGUCUGGGCCUGUGGACUGUGGCUGGUGCAUGAACUACUCAGAAACCAAAAAUAAGUAUUUUAAAACGCUCACAGCAUUAUUGCUACAUCCAAGCUCAUGUUCAUUUUUCUAGUAGUUCAUUUUUAAGUAAUUAUUUUAUAAAAUGUUGGAAGACAGUGAGAACAUGUUUCUCUCAUUUCCUGAAGUUUUAUUACCAUUGCUUUAGGAUGCAUUGACUGUCAUUUCAAAAUAGCACAUUGUAUAUUGGCAUCACUAUCUUUGCAAGUUAUAAAACUAUCUUUUUGCAUUGUGGUGAAAAAAACACAUCACAUAAAAUUUACCAUCUUAGCAGUGUUUAAGUGUACAGUUCCAUAGUGCUAAGUCUAUUCAUGAUAUUAUGAAAUAGAUCUCUAAGACUUUUUCAUCUUUACAAAAAAAUGAAAACUCUGUACCCUUUAAACAACUCCUCUCUGCCCCUCCUCCCAGCCCCAGUAACUAUCAUUCUACUAUCUGUUUCUGUAAAUUGGACUUACUUCAGAUACCUCAUUAUGGAUUCUUUUUUUCUUUUUUUUUUUUUUUUUUUUGAGACGGAGUUUCACUCUUGUUGCCCAGGUUGGAGUACAGUGGCGCGAUCUCGGCUCACCGCAACCUCUGCCUCCCAGGUUCAAGUGAUUCUCCUGCCUCAGCCUCCCAAGUAGCUGGGAUUACAGGCAUGCGCCACCAUGCCCAGCUAAUUUUGUGGUUUUAGUAGAGACGGGGUUUCUCCAUGUUCAUCAGGCUGGUCUCGAACUCCCGACUUCAGGUGAUCUGCCCGUGUCAGCCUCCCAAAGUGUUGGGAUUACAGGUGUGAGCCACCUUGCCCGGCAAAUUCAUUUUUAUUGUCUCUUAUUAAACUAUCAGUCUGAAACAGAUUAGAGGUUUGAAAACCAAAAUGGUCCUUUGCCUUAGGUAGUUGAAGAAGCACUGCUCCCAAAAUGCAGGGCCUAGGACAGGUCUCCUCUUGCCCAGGUCUAAAGGCAUUUCUGCUUUACUUCCCUGAGCCUCAGUUUCCCCAGUGUAAAAAGGGGUGACUGAAUGGUGAUGCUCUGAAGGCCUCACAGCCGUGUCACCCGGGGAUGCUGUGGUCACUGAAUUCCCCGAGUUAGGACUGUCUGGCUGGGCAGCCAUCCUCUGUCCCCUCCCGUCGGGCCCUGCUCCAAGUCCCAUUUCACGCGCCGAGGACUCCUUUGUCUCCACUGACACCUGGUUUCCUGCCUCUGCAGUCACAGCGGGGCCUUCUCAUGGAUGACACAUGCAGGCUGCUUCUACUGCUUAUGUCCUGGCCAAAGGUUUAUGGCAUUACCCACUAAGUUCACAUUCCUCUCUGCUUGACCGUCACUCCUGUUUUCCAUGAGUCACACAGGGCUGAAAGAGAUGAGCUGAUGUUAAAGAGGAUGCAACCGAGCAGGGGCCCCACAUUGCAGAAUUUCAGAGCUGAAAGGGACUCAAUUCUAUUUUUUCUCUUAUUUCACAGUAACGCACAUUUACUGCUAAACAACCCCAAAAGAUAUCUCUUUUUCUCUCUCUCUCUCUCCUGCAAUUCAAGCACCUAAUGAUAACUACCUUUAUUUAUUUAUUUGUUGUUUGUUUGUUUUUUGAGACAGAGUCUCAUUCUGUUGCCCAGGCUGGAGUGCAGCGGUGCAGUCUCAGCUGACUGCUACCUCUGCCUCCUGGGUUCAAGUGAUUCUUGUGCCUCAGCCUCCUGAGUAGCUGGG